GACCUUAGGACUCUUAACUUAUGGAGGAGAAAGAGGCAGAGAGCCUGCGAGCCGCCGCCGCCGAGGUCAGGUCCAUGGGAGGAAGGAGGGAGCAGAGGCCGUUGCCCGUUUGGCGAGUGGCCGGUGGGAGGUUUGGUACGGAUGCCGCCUUGUACGACAGGAUGGACAUGGGGCUGGGAGGAGGUGGUGGCGGCAGGUGGCGUCGGGUGUCGGUGACACGAAUGGAGGCCACCGGGGUCCUACGCCUAGAUGAAGCGGAACGAGCUACGACCGACGAGACAGAGGCCACAACUUAAAGAGUCUUACUAACUCCACGAGGAAACGCGUCCCAUUGACCGCGCGCGGUGAUCCCUGUUUAGUUCUUCGGUUUGUCGUUGAGGCGCCUUCCGCACUCAGUAGUCUACCUAAGUUCGUUGCCCUUCUCCUUUGUGUCCCCAAUGGAAUGAACCUGUCUGUUUUACCUGGUCCGAGAGGAGCUACAAGAACAGCUCGUAGUGUUGUUACCGUUAGUAUGUCGCUUACCUACCUUCGGUGUACGUAUGACACUUUUUACACGCGCUCUUCACGUUACACCUCUAGUGCUCCCUAGUGCACGACAGCUCUACGUUCUGGAAACUGUUCGUAACGUCAUGGUAGUCGUUCGACGAGCGGGCAAGACUUAAACCUACCCUAGCUUUGGUCUUUUACUAGCACUAAGUGUUACUCCUACGAACCUUUUACAUGUAAGUCUUUUGGUUUCGUCGACGCACGAUGUCUUUGUUUCAAUAGUUCUUAACCCUACGCUAUUCAGAUUAUAAGAGGUCUCUAAUACGAUGUUCGCUUCUACUCUCACGUCCGUGACUCUUACGGGUUCUUUACCGUAACUUCCCACGGCUCCUACAGGCCCUCGAAUAAGUUUUAAGUGGAAGUCGUAGACUUGGAUCGUCAGUUCUGGUCCCACCUUGCGGCUGUAGUUACGUUGGGUGAGAUGUCUCGUGAUCCUCCUUCUCCAAGUCUUGUCUGCUACGUGAGAAAACGUACAGACCCUUAUAGUUCUUAAGUAAAGUCUAUAGAUACUUCGGUUUACUUGGAGCUCUCCUUGGUCGAUUACGUAGAGGUUUCCUUUAGAAACGCCGUGAAGUUCUCUAUGGUUUGAAUCCUGCCCCACUAGACGACUCCCGGAUGACGUAAGAGUGAUCGUCGCUGGCGUUCAAACUUAGGGAACACCGUGAAGGUUACCUGUACUCCUUCCUAACCAACUACAACCUUUAACCGUCCUUAACUUCGAAUACAUACCGUAUAAAUAGUGAUCAGAACAUCAUAGUUUGAUAAUCGAAACAGGUUUUAUAAACGAUGACGUUACGGACUACAAAUUGACAAGAUAGAUACGUUCAUGAUUUCAGCGCACAAAACCUAAGACGG
rnacentral:rRNA from 1 species